rnacentral:rRNA from 1 species
GAUGAACGCUGGCGGCGUGCCUAAUACAUGCGAGUCGAGCGAACAGAUGAGAAGCUUGCUUCUCUGAUGUUAGCGGCGGACGGGUGAGUAACACGUGGGUAACCUACCUAUAAGACUGGGAUAACUCCGGGAAACCGGGGCUAAUACCGGAUAAUAUUUUGAACCGCAUGGUUCAAUAGUGAAAGACGGUUUCGGCUGUCACUUAUAGAUGGACCCGCGCCGUAUUAGCUAGUUGGUAAGGUAAUGGCUUACCAAGGCGACGAUACGUAGCCGACCGAAGAGGGUGAGCGGCCACACUGGAACUGAGACACGGUCCACACUCCUACGGGAGGCAGCAGUAGGGAAUCUUCAGCAAGGGGCGAAAGCCUGACGGAGCAACGCCGCGUGAGUGAUGAAGGUCUUCGGAUCGUAAAACUCUGUUGUUAGGGAAGAACAAAUUUGUUAGUAACUGAACGAGUCUUGACGGUACCUAACCAGAAAGCCACGGCUAACUACGUGCCAGCCGCCGCCGUAA